GGAAGCUAUUUUAUUUACCCUUUUAGUCAUUUUGAAAAUUGGCACCCAUUGGACAGAGAAGAGGCAGCCCCUAUUGAUUGUUGAUUGCAUAGACUUCCCAAACAAUGCUUAACUCAUGGGAGCGAUUCAGCCUGGAAUCCGACGAUCACUCCGGCGACACACAAAGGUAGUAUCUUCGCUAAUGUGCAGGAGGGUCGAAGGCGGCGAAAGCGGAAUAAAGAGAAGGAGAACCGACGGCGGUGGCGGCUGGACUCACACGCCGGCAAGCCCGAUACCUGAGAGAUACGAGCGAGAGGGGUUGGUGACCGACGAAGCUGGCAUGAAGUUAGACGACACGGGUGACAGCGGUGAGUCCAGCCACUGAAUGCAGUGGCGACAGUGACGUGAGAGAGGCGUGAGAUAAAAAAACGAGAAGAAGAAAGGGAGAGGAAGGAGAAAAACGGGCGAGGCGGGUUUGCGGUGGGCGACGGAAUGAGAGAUGAGAAAAGGAGAGGGCGGCGGUGGGCGGCUGCUAGCCGAGAGAGCCGCCGGAGCUUACCACGGCUUGGCUGGCAAAUUCGGCGGGCGUGAAACGGGGAGGAAUAACUGACGAGGCGGGCGACGAAGAGAGCGCCGGCGAGGAACGAAGAAGCCACCGGUCUGGCAGCGCCGAUAGGGAGAGAAAGAGAGAGAAAUAGGCGCUACUCUCCUUUAGGGUUUAGAAAAUUUAUGUAAUACAGUAUAUUAUUUGGGCUUUAGUUGGGCUUUUAGAGUUUGAAAAUUAUGGAGUACUAAUAUAUGUAUACCAUGUAGGAUUUAAUCGGAUUUUUAAUGUAUUAGGUUUUAUAGUUUAUAGUUUAAAUUAUAAACGUAUAAUUUUAUACUAUUUGAUAUAUUUUUAUUUAAUAAAAUAUAGACUUCUUGAUUAUGAUUGUUUUCU